rnacentral:tRNA from 1 species
GUAAGUCUAGUGGUAUGAUUCUAGCUUGGGGUGCGAGAGGUCGCAAGUUUGAUUCUUCCAACA